CUGAUUAACACUUUCCAACACGACCAGACACUCAAGUUUCAACUUUUCCUUUGAAAACGGAUACAAGCAUUCCUUGAUUCCUCGGGUUAUAAAAGCUGCUUAUGGCGAGGGGGACACCAUAAUUAAUAGCAGGGCUGGGGUACCUGCUGCUUUGUCUUCCUCUCUACUUGACAGUUGCUACAACAACCAGAUGUAUCUUCGGCAGGUCAAAAACUACCACUGGAAUGUCCACCAGGAUCUCACAGAUGCUCCUCCUGAUUCCUGAAAUACAACUGACAAUGUGAGAUUCCCAAGAAUGCCAGGAGGUGGAGCAAGGACAAGGUUGCUGACUGAACUUCCACAUGGAAUCCAUCACUUAGAAGCAAGUUGUCCAAGUAUGGGAAUAUGGUGUAGCCAUUUUGUCUCAUCUGUGCUGCAACCACUGAGAAGACUUUCAUGAAGACCCUUGGUGCCACAGCCAGACCAAAUGAGAGUACCUUGAACUGAUAGUGUUCCGGUCCUAU